rnacentral:rRNA from 1 species
UACGGAGGGUGCAAACGUUGCUCGGAAUUAUUGGGCGUAAAGCGCACGUAGGCGGCCGAAUAAGUCGGGUGUGAAAGCCCAGGGCUCAACCCUGGAAGUGCACUCGAAACUGCUCGGCUUGAAUAUGGAAGAGGGUCGCGGAAUUCCCGGUGUAGAGGUGAAAUUCGUAGAUAUUCGGAAGAACACCAGUGGCGAAGGCGACUCACUGGACACGUAUUGACGCUGAGGUGCGAAAGCGUGGGGAGCAAACAGG